UUUCAGAUGUUCUGCAGAGUUGAAAACUCUGAAAUGGGUUACCUGACAGUUUGUGUGGAGCUGAAAACAAGAAUUCUAUCAAAGAGGUAGGCCAGCAGGAAACAGCAGUUAUAAGAGAUCAGAUGGCAACAAGAUAAAACAGCUAAUGGAGGUGAAAAGUAGCAGUCAGUCAGCACUGAGAGGCUCAUAACGGUCAGGAGGAAGAGUUACAUGGGAGGUGGAAUUCUGACAUCGCGAUCAGAAGUUGGCAGCUAAUCCAAGCCUUUGUGGUAUGGUCUAUCCCAGGAAACCCACAGUCACAACAUUUGUUGCUAGCAUGGUGCUAUAUAGAAACUAUAUUAGUUAUGGCAGAUAUAGUAAGUUUUCAGAGGAAGUGACAUUUACAUAAGAUUUCUGCCAUUUUUCAGAAAUGCUACAGUUCAUAAAUA